rnacentral:lncRNA from 1 species
AAGCAACCGUGAGUACUCAUCCAAAGUACUCGCAAGCAAGGAUCUACACUACAUAUGCAACAUUAUCAAAGGAAGGCUGUAUAUGUGGACUGGGCUGCAGAAAUGCCAGAAAAGAGAGAAGGCCUAGUCCUAUCAAAAACUAGCAUCUUUUGGAAACCACCAUCUCGCAGCAACAGGAGGGAGUAGAGUAGCAUAAAGUAAAGUAGUAGUAGUGUUAUCAACCUCGGCCGGAGAUCCUUUCUCGACUCCCUGCGAGAAAGAAAUCCCAGAGCCAUACUAUCCAGUUAUCAUCACAAUCCAAUUCUCAUCACCAUCCAGUUCUAGUUGUAUCGAUCGGGAUACAACUCCAAGUGUCCGUUACCGUAGGACAGGCUAUUGAUAGAUGUUUUCUUCCCUGCAGGGGUGCACCAACUUACCCACCAUGCUCGAUUAACUCCGGCCGGACACACUUUCCUGGGUCAUGCUCGGCCUCGGCCAAACAAUACGCCGCAACCCGACCUAGGCUUAAUAGAGAGGCCAACACGCCGGACUAAACCUAUGCCCCCAGGGGUCAUGGGCCAUCUCCCCGGGAACUCCUGCACGUUGCGUGGGCGGCCGGUGAGCAGACCUAGCUACCUCCCUAAAAAGGCAGGAGCUUACCAGUCCAACCCGGCGCGCGCCGCUCAGUCGCUGACGUCUAUUAAGCUUCGGCUGAUGUAUACGACGCAGAACGCCCAUACUAUGCCCACGUGAUGGUUAGUGCUAUCAGGCCAGAGGCCCCUCGGAUCAAAUAUCCAAAUCGUAGUGGAUUAGGAACGCGCGGUAACAAGCAAAGACUCACGAAAGAUGUGACCCCGUUGCCCCGUCUCGAGGACUUGCGGCAAGGGCUAGGAAUGUCCGGCCACGCCUCGUAAUUAUCUCGCGGGCACCCUCCAGGUCAACCCGUCUCCACAUCCCUCGCAAUUAAGCUCGCGCGGGUACCCCUCAGGGUCGACCCGUCUUUAGUAACAUGGUUCAAUGUAAAGACAUAGUAACCAUAGUAACUGUGUGUCCAAACAUUAAGGGGAAAACCCGAGGAAUCACCCCGGUGAAUUCCACUCGAUGUAAUCAUCAAGGUGAACGUAAGAGGAACAACCCCCGAGGUUCACACUUGAGGGGUUGCACGACAGAGCCGUAUCGAAAGUGGUUAAGGAGGAAAUCACCCUCGAUGACCACGAACGAAUAGCUACACUACAGAGAUCUCAUCAGGAGUGAUGUAUGAGGGUCCACCCUCGGCACUCGAUGGUAACCCUGCAGAGUCGAGCAACAAAAGGGGCGUGAUGUGAUGUGAGGUGUCGGGCUCUGGUCUUCGAUCCCGUUGAACGGGUCUUCGAUGAUGAAGCAGGGGCAACAAGGACAAGGUGGGGGUCACUGAUGGAUCACUAACCAACCUAUACUAAGCAGUUUAGGAUAAGCAGGUAGGUAACAAUGAGCAGGUUACAAAAGCAGGCUAUGCAUCAGAAUAGGAGCAAACAAUAACAAUAGCAAAAUCUAAUGCAAGCAUGAGAGAAUGGAAUGGGCGAUAUCGGGAUGAUCAAAAGGGGGGCUUGCCUGGUUGUUCGGACAAGAACGAGGGGUCGUCGGUGACGUAGUCGAUCACAGCGGCAUCGACAGCCGCCACGUGGUCUAGCGAAGAGAAGAGGGGGGGAGAAACAGUAAAUACAUAGCAAGCAAGUGCAUAACAGGAUAAAAGGCAUAGCUAGACGUGUUCUAACGCGGUCCUAGAUGUUAUAGGUGAAGGGGGAAUUCAACUGGGAAGGUGUUCCCGGUUCCGGACCUGUGUCAGACAGAUGACCGCAGGGGGAAAGUUCCAUGUUCAGCAUGCUAGGGGCAUGUGACAGAUGAAUGGAUAGCGUAUUCGGAUUCGUUGGAUUUUUCUGAGCAACUCUCAUGUAGAAAAUAUUUUCAUCCGAGCUACGGAUUAUUUUAUAUGAUUUUUCGAAGAUUUAGACAAUUUCUGGAAUUUCUGGAUUUACUAAUAAAUCAAAAAGUAAAAUACCUAAAAUGCUACGGGUACACAAGGAAGUGUACCCAACAGUGUGUAAGAGGCUGACAGGUGGGGUCUAGUUGACUGCCUAGUCAGCAGUCAACUGAGACUGUUGACUAGUCAAAGGGCCCGAGGGACCCGCAUGUCAUUGACUGGGUUAUCCCAGUCAGCAGUUUAACUGGUCAAUGGGACCAGUGGGACCCAAGUGUCAUCCACACAUAUUUUAGCAUUUUUUCAGAGGAUAUUUAGAGGAGGGGGGUCCACCUGCCAUAGGCUAGUAGCUAAUCUAACUAGUAAUUAUCCCCUGAAGUAAUUUGCAUAGGGUCGGCCAGAGGCGCAAGCAGCACCAUGGAUGUGCACAUACACGCACAACCCAUGUGUGUUCAGCCAUGGCCACGGCCACAUGCGAGGCUAGCGCUGGAGCAACCAACAGUGGCGGCAAGUAGAGCAGCAGUAGCAAAAUGAGUAGCAACAGCAAAAGAGUAGCAGCGGCAUAUCAGCAACAUCAAAACGGCAGUGGUGUCUGCUAGUAGAUCAGCAGCCGGAAAGCGUCAGCGGCAUGCGAGAAGCAGCAGCAUAGCAGCCUCAUCAAUAUUCAGUAGUAAGCAGCAGCAACCAUCACGGCAGCUAGCGGGACAGGGGCGCCGCCCGGGCGAACGUCCGCGCGCGAGGAGCAGCAGUACAAGCAGCAGCAGAGCAGCGGCAGGGACGCGGACGACUAUGGCGGCGCGCCUGGGCGCGGCCAGGGAGCGGCGGGCGCGAGCCAGCAAGGCCUAACGCGGCCAGAGGCGCGCGAGCGCGGACUGUGGCGCAGCGAGCACGAGCUCCUACGGCGCCGGGCACGGCGGUGACGGCGGCCUACGGUGGUACGCGGACAAACGACGAGGUUGCUCUAGAGGACCGGAUCGAUACAGGGAAAGGGAGGAGGAGCUGGGUCUCACAGUGGUGGCAACGGCGAGAGCAGGUGGUUCCGGGAGGUUCGAACGACGGUGGAUCGAAGCCGUGGCCGAGGCGAACGCUGACGGAGGGGAUCGGCGCGGUCCGGCGAUGCAUCGAGGAUGGGCUCGAUCUGGCCCUUGUAGACGAAGCAGAGGAAGCGGGCGGAGCUCCUGGCGAAGUCUUGGCCGACGGGGAGGUCGGUGGCCACUGCGAUGCAGCAGCUAGUGGCGACGGUGCUUCGGGCGCACGCGGGGAGAAGAGAGCGACGCGAGGUGGAGAUGAAGUGGGCGGCUAGGGUUCACAGGGGGACGAGGGCGACCUUAUCUGCAUCAGGGGGCCACGGGAUGGAUGUCGCGUGGUCAUCCGCGGCCAUGGACGUGGCGCACGCCUCCACGGCGCUCCUGAUGAGCAGUAGGAAGGAGGAGGUGGCGAGGUGGGCUGGGCUCCCACGGUUGACCUAGAGCCAAGUCCACCAGUAGUUUAGCUCUUUUUUCUUAAUUUUCUUUCUGCUUCUUUGAUUUCUUCUCGGACUUGUAAAUUGCUAGGCCACCCAUUCACUUUGUAAAAUAUGAGACUUGGCUUAAUAAAUUACAUGUAAUAUUUAGCACUGUUAUAAAACGGUUCGAGGAAUAUUAGAAUUCGUUUGAUUUUUGCAUAAAAGGAAAUGGAUUAAAAAGGGUGUUCUGGACACUGUAAAUAGGUUAGGGGUAAUUUAAUAUUUCAAAUAAUGUUGGUUCCUUCAGGAAAAUUAAUUAGUGAAACUUUGUAACCCAGCGAACAUUUUUGUGUUGCCGUUUGAAGGAAUAAGAAUUUGACUUGUUUUGGAAGUUGAAUUUGAUUCGUGUUUGAAACAAAGUAAGAUUAGCAACAGUAAUUGCGAUGACUCGGCACCAUUAACAUGGGAUUACUGUAGCUUAAUUAUCCGGGCGUCACAAUUCUCCUCCACUACAAGAAAUCUCGUCCCGAGAUUUAAGGGGUGGAGUAAGGGGGAAUGACUCAGGAAGGACGGAUCUCAACACAAGAUAGGUACGUGGGGACUACGUGAGUGAACGUGGCAUAGAGGCAUCUCUCGAGUUGAAAUUCAAGAAAGUCAUCGAGAGCAAGGUGAGGUGCAAUAAGAAGCUUCAACCUGGUAGACGAUCGUUUGUUGCUUGAAACAAGGGGUGAAAGGGGUUCAGAGUAGUGGUAAUAAGUAUUGCGUCUGAUACCAUAAUAGAUCGCCUCUCGGAAGGCGGCUCAGGAUUUUCAUAUGAAGCCAAGCGUGAGAAAUAACCUUAGAAACAAGGGUGUACAGGAGAGUUAGGUUUCGAUCCUGUGGAACUAUGGGUUAUGAGCUCACCAUGUGGGUUAAAGGUAGGAAAGGCGUUGACAUCUUGCACAGAUGAUAGCAAGGCAUGUCAGAUGACAACCUGUCAGUUAUGUUGGCAACGACGUCGGUACCAAGGGCGAGGGACAAAGAGAACCAUUUUCCUGCUCGUUAGGACGAGGCGGACCAAUAGGCAAAGUUCUCGUCCAUCGGUGGUUACCGGAAUGUCAUCAACAAUAGUAACAGGGUCUUACUGACAGAGUUGUACAUCGAGGUGCUUACCUAAGCAGGGAUUUAUCUCUGCUCAGACAAGUUAGAUUACAAGAAAGGUAAAACAAAACAAUGGAAAGGAAAAUGUGAUUAUUAUGAUAAUCAGACCAAUGGAAAGGAAAGAUGUUUAUACCCAAGUAUUAGAGUAUAACUUUCCCAAGGAAAGGCAGAGCAUGAUUGGACUCCAAGUAUUAAACCGUUUAGAUAAAGGGGCAAGGAACUUAUGAGGUUUACCUAUACAACGGUGUUUGGAUAAUUGAUCAAGAACAGUUAGCAUUGCACUCCCAAUGUUUUUGUUGAUGUUUGGAGUAACACAGUCAUGCUUCGAGGUAACAGUAACAUGGUGUUUCAAGCAAGAUUGAAUCUGAAGGUCACAAGAAGUACAAAGGAACAAUUCCAAGAAUGUCAAGGAAUGUAAGAUAUAACCAAAACAUGACCAAGUCUGUAUUGGUAGGAAGUCAAGGAUGGUGUCGAUGACAACACAAAUCAUCGACGGGCAAGGAUGGUAUUUCUCCUCAAGAAUUCAAUUGAUAUCUUAGAAUAAGGCAGUAUAUUGAUGGUGAUUCACGACAAAUUUUGUCGAGAGGCUCUAAGAAGAUGCCAUCGAGCAGCAACGACAUCAAGCAAAAGGAAUGAUGAAGCGAAGGCUAUUGGAACCACGGAUACGACAUAAGCUCGGAUUCAAGCUUGUUGUUCAAGGUGGAAUGAUAAGAUGAGGAAGAUCGACGUAAGCUUCACUCAUCGUAAGCUUCACUCAUCGUCGAAAAGUUGUGCUUCGGGAAGGACCAGGUAGCACAGUUAAAAAGUUGCACGAUAAUGAUAUAGCCGAUCAGGCUAGGAAUGACUUGAAGGAUUAACAAACUCAUAAGCAAUGAAGAUUAUUUAGAGUUAUUGAAUCGGAGUGCGGAAGUGAUUUACUUAUCAGUGUUCUCGGUUGACGACAACUCAGAACCCAGGAAAAUUGAAAUCGGUGAGAAAUAACAGUUGAUGAAGAACCCAUAAGAAGUUAUGUAGUUCAGUGAUAUUCUUGAGAUACCAGAGUGUAACACUCGAUGGUAGAUCAAAGUAAAGGUUGGAUAGGUGCAAUGAUCUGCAGAAUACAAGUACUUCAACUUGUCCAAGAAAUGGGACCAAAGAAGAACAAUCAUGGUGAGAACCACGGUUGCAAAGGACCAAUAUAGAUACAAGAUGAACUUAUCACAAGGGGAUCAUUAUUAUCAUAACAAGAAGCUUCCAUGAUAAGUUCCACAUCGGGUCCAUGGGCGUGAACACAAAGGUUCAAGGUCGACUCCCACUUCAUCAAUGCACAACCUUCCAUUCACUUCUCGCAUUCGAAGUUGUAGCGUUGAUAUGUUAUCCGAAGAAACGCUAGUAGAUAUAACCUGCAUAACCUUCCGGUUCACACGGAUUAGGCAAGGCGUAGAUUCAACCCACUGGGGCAUCUUAUGAACAUAGACCACAAACUUCACGAGUAAAUAACUCAAGCUCGAAAGUAGAGCAUGAUUGAGGAAGCAGAGGAUACAAUUUACCAAAGGCAUUAUGUAUCCGAGGAAAAGCUCACAAUGUUACUAAAUAAGAAGGACGCUGUCGGAUAAAACCCAACAAAGGAUCUGGUGGUCCACAAGGGAUCUGAUGUGAGCAUCGAUACUCACCCAGAAGAAGAAAGAAUGCAAGGAUAUCAGAUUAUAGAAACAACUGACUAAUUCAAAGCUCAAAUGCAAAGGAAAUAUGAUUUCCAAAAUGGUGGAUCAGAAGCAGAGGCCCUGAUCAAAGACAGGUUAGUUGAAUAGACAUAGAUCGACAAUCAAUCAAGGUUUGAUUUGUCGAACACCAGCUCAUGUCAGGGGUGACGUCUGAGCCGAAGGGAAGAAUUCUAACUUUGAUUGAUGAUUGCAAGCAUUCACAAACAUAUCGAAUCAAAUGCUCAAAAUGAAAUAUGACAAAUGAUACUACUGAAUAUUGCCAGACAUAUGGAAAGCAUCCACAAUGCAAGCAUACAAGGAGGAGCAAGAGUAGUAGGUUUCUAAGGAUUUUCGGAAGAUCGGAUAAUAUUCCAAAGAAUUUUGUGAAACAGUGAACAACUGUGGACGAACAGAUACUCGGCAAGCGCGAGUAAUUAUCCGCAGGGGUAUUCAUGUGGCAAAGAACUGCAAGGCAGUAGGCUCAAUGGAUUCUUAGGACAACAGAGAGUAAUUCAAGGCAUCUUGUAAUAACAAGAGCAACUGGGGAUGAAGGUAUGAACGACAACGUAGGUAGUUACUCAUAAGGAUUUAUCGGUGGUAUGGAAUUGCAACGGCAAAGGGCACAAGGGUUUCGGGGAAACAUCGGGAGUAUCUUCGAAAUCUUCUAAAGCAGCAAGCGAUCAUCUGGCCUGAAGGGGCUCUCCGGGAGAAAGUGGGUACGAGAUCCUAAUGUCUGACUUAGUAAAAUGUUUAACCCGAAUAGACAAGAGAUCAGAGUCCCAGAGUAUAGACGAGGAAUAAAAUAUCCUAAUACCACCCAAUGGCGACGUGGGCCCGUAAGCCACACAACCAAUGUUAGUAAAAGUUUUUCAGUGACUAGACUCAACUUCAGCCAAGGAGUCGGAAAGGGGGCUACCUACAGGCAGUCGGCUCUGAUACCAACUUGUGACGCCCUCGAUUCAAUUGUACACUAAUCAUGCACGCAAAUGUAUAUGAUCAAGAUCAAGGACUCACGGGAAGAUAUCACAACACAACUCUAGACACAAAUUAAAAUAAUACAAGCUUUAUAUUACAAGCUAGGGGCCUCGAGGGCUCGAAUACAUAAGCUCGAAAACACAAGAGUCAGCGGAAGCAACAAUAUCUGAGUACAGACAUGAGUUAGACAAGUUUGCCUUAAGAAGGCUAGCACAAAAGCAUCUACGAACGAAAAGGCAAGGCCUCUUGCCUGGGAGCCUCCUAACUACUCCUGGUCAUCGUCGGUCUCCACGUAGUAGUAGGCAUCGGCGGUGGCAUCUGGCUCCUGGGCUCCGACAUCUGGUUGCAUCAACCGGAAAGAAGAAGAAAGAGGGAAAAGGGGGAGCAAAGCAACCAUGAGUACUCAUCCAAAGUACUCGCAAGCAAGGAUCUACACUACAUAUGCAACAUUAUCAAAGGAAGGCUGUAAAUGUGGACUGGGCUGCAGAAAUGCCAGAAAAGAGAGAAGGCCUAGUCCUAUCAAAAACUAGCAUCUUUUGGAAACCACCAUCUCGCAGCAACAGGAGGGAGUAGAGUAGCAUAAAGUAAAGUAGUAGUAGUGUUAUCAACCUCGGCCGGAGAUCCUUUCUCGACUCCCUGCGAGAAAGAAAUCCCAGAGCCAUACUAUCCAGUUAUCAUCACAAUCCAAUUCUCAUCACCAUCCAGUUCU